rnacentral:rRNA from 1 species
UGUUUCGGCUAGGGGGCCAUCCCGGCUUACCAACCCGAUGCAAACUACGAAUACCGAAGAAUGUUAUCACGGGAGACACACGGCGGGUGCUAACGUCCGUCGUGAAGAGGGAAACAACCCAGACCGCCAGCUAAGGUCCCAAAGUCAUGGUUAAGUGGGAAACGAUGUGGGAAGGCACAGACAGCCAGGAUGUUGGCUUAGAAGCAGCCAUCAUUUAAAGAAAGCGUAAUAGCUCACUGGUCGAGUCGGCCUGCGCGGAAGAUGUAACGGGGCUAAACCAUGCACCGAAGCUGCGGCAGCGACACUAUGUGUUGUUGGGUAGGGGAGCGUUCUGUAAGCCGUUGAAGGUGGCCUGUGAGGGUUGCUGGAGGUAUCAGAAGUGCGAAUGCUGACAUAAGUAACGAUAAAGCGGGUGAAAAGCCCGCUCGCCGGAAGACCAAGGGUUCCUGUCCAACGUUAAUCGGGGCAGGGUGAGUCGACCCCUAAGGCGAGGCCGAAAGGCGUAGUCGAUGGGAAACAGGUUAAUAUUCCUGUACUUGGUGUUACUGCGAAGGGGGGACGGAGAAGGCUAUGUUAGCCGGGCGACGGUUGUCCCGGUUUAAGCAUGUAGGCGGAGGUUCCAGGUAAAUCCGGUACCUUUUAACGCUGAGGUGUGAUGACGAGGCACUACGGUGCUGAAGUAACAAAUGCCCUGCUUCCAGGAAAAGCCUCUAAGCAUCAGGUAACACGAAAUCGUACCCCAAACCGACACAGGUGGUCAGGUAGAGAAUACCAAGGCGCUUGAGAGAACUCGGGUGAAGGAACUAGGCAAAAUGGUGCCGUAACUUCGGGAGAAGGCACGCUGAUAUGUAGGUGAAGCCCCUGCGGGUGGAGCUGAAAUCAGUCGAAGAUACCAGCUGGCUGCAACUGUUUAUUAAAAACACAGCACUGUGCAAACACGAAAGUGGACGUAUACGGUGUGACGCCUGCCCGGUGCCGGAAG